AGCGAACGCUGGCGGCAGGCCUAACACAUGCAAGUCGAACGAAGUCUUCGAACUUAGUGGCGGACGGGUGAGUAACACGUGGGAACGUGCCUUUAGGUUCGGAAUAACUCAGGGAAACUUGUGCUAAUACCGAAUGUGCCCUUCGGGGGAAAGAUUUAUCGCCUUUAGAGCGGCCCGCGUCUGAUUAGCUAGUUGGUGAGGUAAAGGCUCACCAAGGCGACGAUCAGUAGCUGGUCUGAGAGGAUGAUCAGCCACAUUGGGACUGAGACACGGCCCAAACUCCUACGGGAGGCAGCAGUGGGGAAUCUUGCGCAAUGGGCGAAAGCCUGACGCAGCCAUGCCGCGUGAAUGAUGAAGGUCUUAGGAUUGUAAAAUUCUUUCACCGGGGACGAUAAUGACGGUACCCGGAGAAGAAGCCCCGGCUAACUUCGUGCCAGCAGCCGCCGUAA
rnacentral:rRNA from 1 species